GAUGAACGCUAGCUACAGGCUUAACACAUGCAAGUCGAGGGGUAGCAGGGUAGCAAUACCGCUGACGACCGGCGCACGGGUGAGUAACACGUAUCCAACCUUCCCAUAACUCGGGGAUAGCCUUUCGAAAGAAAGAUUAAUACCCGAUAGUACUUAAGAAAGGCAUCUUUUUUAAGUUAAAGAUUUAUUGGUUAUGGAUGGGGAUGCGUUCCAUUAGAUAGUUGGUGAGGUAACGGCUCACCAAGUCUUCGAUGGAUAGGGGUUCUGAGAGGAAGGUCCCCCACAUUGGUACUGAGACACGGACCAAACUCCUACGGGAGGCAGCAGUGAGGAAUAUUGGUCAAUGGGCGAGAGCCUGAACCAGCCAAGUAGCGUGAAGGAUGAAGGUCCUAUGGAUUGUAAACUUCUUUUAUAGUAGAAUAAAGUGACCCACGUGUGGAUUUUUGUAUGUAUACUAUGAAUAAGGAUCGGCUAACUCCGUGCCAGCCGCCGCUGUAA
rnacentral:rRNA from 1 species